rnacentral:tRNA from 1 species
AGCGGGGCGGAGCAGCGGCGUGCUCGCCGGUCUCAUAAGCCGGAGAACCUUCGGGUCAUUGCGUGGGUUCGAGUCCCACCCCCGCCACCA